rnacentral:rRNA from 1 species
UCGAGAAUCUUUCGCAAUGGGCGCAAGCCUGACGAAGCGACGCCGUGUGAGCGAAGAAGGCCUUCGGGUUGUAAAGCUCUUUCGCUAGGGAACAAGAGAGGUCGAUUAAUAACCGGCCGAUUUGAUGGUACUUGGUAAAGAAGCACCGGCUAACUCCGUGCCAGCAGCUGCGGUAAUACGGAGGGUGCAAGCAUUGAUCGGAAUUACUGGGCGUAAAGGGCGCGUAGGUGGUACGAAAAGUCAGAUGUGAAAUUCCGGGGCUCAACCCCGGAGCUGCAUUUGAAACUUUCGAACUAGAGGUUGGUAAGGGAAAACAGAAUUCCACGUGUAGCGGUGAAAUGCGUAGAUAUGUGGAAGAAUACCGGUGGUGAAGACGGUUUUCUGUGCCAAACCUGACACUGAGGCGCGAAAGCUAGGGGAGCAAACAGGAUUAGAUACCCCCGUAGUCC